UACCAGCACCCCGAGUGGUCGCGACGAUUAUUGGGCCUAAAGCAUCCGUAGCCGGUUCUGCAAGUCCCCCGUUAAAUCCAGCUGCUCAACAGAUGGGCCGCGGAGGAUACUACAGAGCUAGGGGGCAGGAGAGGCAAGCGGUACUCAGUGGGUAGGGGUAAAAUCCGUUGAUCCAUUGAAGACCACCAGUGGCGAAGGCGGCUUGCCAGAAUGCGCUCGACGGUGAGGGAUGAAAGCUGGGGGAGCAAACCGG
rnacentral:rRNA from 1 species